UACGUAGGGGGCAAGCGUUGUCCGGAAUCAUUGGGCGUAAAGAGCGUGUAGGCGGCUCGAUAAGUCCGCUGUGAAAGUCCAGGGCUCAACCCUGGAAGGCCGGUGGAAACUGUCGGGCUAGAGUCCGGAAGAGGAGAGUGGAAUUCCUGGUGUAGCGGUGAAAUGCGCAGAUAUCAGGAGGAACACCAAUUGCGAAGGCAGCCCGCUGGGACGUUACUGACGCUGAGACGCGAAAGCGUGGGGAGCAAAUAGG
rnacentral:rRNA from 1 species